GGCCUAACACAUGCAAGUCGAGCGGUAACAGGGGUAGCUUGCUACCCGCUGACGAGCGGCGGACGGGUGAGUAAUGCAUAGGAAUCUGCCCGGUAGUGGGGGAUAACCUGGGGAAACCCAGGCUAAUACCGCAUACGUCCUACGGGAGAAAGGGGGCUCCGGCUCCCGCUAUUGGAUGAGCCUAUGUCGGAUUAGCUAGUUGGUGAGGUAAUGGCUCACCAAGGCGACGAUCCGUAGCUGGUCUGAGAGGAUGAUCAGCCACAUCGGGACUGAGACACGGCCCGAACUCCUACGGGAGGCAGCAGUGGGGAAUAUUGGACAAUGGGCGAAAGCCUGAUCCAGCCAUGCCGCGUGUGUGAAGAAGGCCCUCGGGUUGUAAAGCACUUUCAGCGAGGAAGAACGCCUAGUGGUUAAUACCCACUAGGAAAGACAUCACUCGCAGAAGAAGCACCGGCUAACUCCGUGCCAGCAGCCGCGGUAAUACGGAGGGUGCAAGCGUUAAUCGGAAUUACUGGGCGUAAAGCGCGCGUAGGUGGCUUGAUAAGCCGGUUGUGAAAGCCCCGGGCUCAACCUGGGAACGGCAUCCGGAACUGUCAAGCUAGAGUGCAGGAGAGGAAGGUAGAAUUCCCGGUGUAGCGGUGAAAUGCGUAGAGAUCGGGAGGAAUACCAGUGGCGAAGGCGGCCUUCUGGACUGACACUGACACUGAGGUGCGAAAGCGUGGGUAGCAAACAGGAUUAGAUACCCUGGUAGUCCACGCCGUAAACGAUGUCGACCAGCCGUUGGGUGCCUAGCGCACUUUGUGGCGAAGUUAACGCGAUAAGUCGACCGCCUGGGGAGUACGGCCGCAAGGUUAAAACUCAAAUGAAUUGACGGGGGCCCGCACAAGCGGUGGAGCAUGUGGUUUAAU
rnacentral:rRNA from 1 species